rnacentral:rRNA from 1 species
GACGAACGCUGGCGGCGUGCUUAACACAUGCAAGUCGAACGGAAAGGCCCUGCUUGCAGGGUACUCGAGUGGCGAACGGGUGAGUAACACGUGGGUGAUCUGCCCUGCACUUCGGGAUAAGCCUGGGAAACUGGGUCUAAUACCGGAUAGGAGCCAUUUUUAGUGUGAUGGUUGGAAAGUUUUUUCGGUGUAGGAUGAGCUCGCGGCCUAUCAGCUUGUUGGUGGGGUAAUGGCCUACCAAGGCGGCGACGGGUAGCCGGCCUGAGAGGGUGGACGGCCAAAUUGGGACUGAGAUACGGCCCAGACUCCUACGGGAGGCAGCAGUGGGGAAUAUUGCACCAUGGGCGCAAGCCUGAUGCAGGGACGCCGCGUGGGGGAUGACGGCCUUCGGGUUGUAAACUCCUUUCGCUAGGGACGAAGCUUUUUGUGACGGUACCUAGAUAAGAAGCACCGGCUAACUACGUG